UACGUAGGGUGCAAGCGUUAAUCGGAAUUACUGGGCGUAAAGCGUGCGCAGGCGGCUUUGCAAGACAGAUGUGAAAUCCCCGGGCUUAACCUGGGAACUGCAUUUGUGACUGCAUGGCUGGAGUGCGGCAGAGGGGGAUGGAAUUCCGCGUGUAGCAGUGAAAUGCGUAGAUAUGCGGAGGAACACCGAUGGCGAAGGCAGGUCUCUGGGCUGACACUGACGCUCAUGCACGGAAGCGUGGGGAGCAAACAGG
rnacentral:rRNA from 1 species